GAUCCUGGCUCAGGAUGAACGCUAGCUACAGGCUUAACACAUGCAAGUCGAGGGGCAGCAUUUUAGUUUGCUUGCAAACUGAAGAUGGCGACCGGCGCACGGGUGAGUAACACGUAUCCAACCUGCCGAUAACUCCGGAAUAGCCUUUCGAAAGAAAGAUUAAUACCGGAUGGCAUACGAAUAUCGCAUGAUAUUUUUAUUUAAAGAAUUUCGGUUAUCGAUGGGGAUGCGUUCCAUUAGUUUGUUGG
rnacentral:rRNA from 1 species